CUGAGACACUGCCCAGACACCUACGGGUGGCUGCAGUCGAGAAUCUUCGGCAAUGGACGCAAGUCUGACCGAGCGACGCCGCGUGCGGGAUGAAGGCCUUCGGGUUGUAAACCGCUGUCGUAGAGGAGGAAAUUCUGGUGGGUACUCCCAUCAGAUUGACUGAUUCUAGGAGGAAGGACCGGCUAAUCUCGUGCCAGCAGCCGCGGUAAUACGAGAGGUCCAAACGUUAUUCGGAAUUACUGGGCUUACAGAGUUCGUAGGCGGUUCUACAAGUGAGGUGUGAAAGCCCUCGGCUCAACCGAGGAACUGCGCUUCAAACUGUAGAACUAGAGGGAGAUAGAGGUGAGCAGAACUGAUGGUGGAGCGGUGAAAUGCGUUGAUAUCAUCAGGAAUACCGGAGGCGAAGGCGGCUCACUGGGUCUCUUCUGACGCUGAGGAACGAAAGCUAGGGGAGCAAACGGGAUUAGAUACCCCGGUAGUCCUAGCCGUAAACGAUGAGCACUGGGCCGGAGCUCUGCACAGGGUUUCGGCCGUAGCGAAAGUGUUAAGUGCUCCGCCUGGGGAGUAUGGUCGCAAGGCUG
rnacentral:rRNA from 1 species